AACGUCUUCCCACCUUUUUCUCCCUCUCCCUCUUCCCCCUCCUUCUUCCCACUGCGGUCUUCCGCAUCCUCUUCUGCAGUCUCCCUACUGUUUUCUUCCCGCACCUUCUUCUCCCCCGCAGUUUUUUUCCCCUUCCCCACGUUUUCUUCCCGCACCUUAUUCUCCCCCGCAGUUUUUUUUCCCCUUCCCCACCGUUUUCUUCCCCUCAGUCUCUCCCAUUCCUGGCAGCACGGCUUCUUGUGGCGGCAGCUUUUCCUCCCAUCUUCUUCUAUCCACCCGCUCGCUUCCAGUCUCCACCUUCCCGCCUAUUCCCCCAGCAGCGUCUUCCCGCCGCUCCCUCUUCUCCCCUCCCCUCCUCACCGUCUUCUCCCGGCCUAUUACCCCCAACCGUUUUCCUUCCUCACCCCGCACCGUUUCCUUCCCAUGUCUGCCGCAGUCUUCUUCCCACCCUCUUCUCCUCUCCCCAUCGUCUUCUUUCCCAGCCUCUUAUUCUCCGUCUUCUACCCGCCUCCAUAUCCCCACCUUCUUCUCGCAGCAGCGUCUUCCUGCCGCGCUUUUCUCUCCCCGCACCACUUUCUCUCUUCCUCUUCCCACCGUCCUCUCCCCACGCCGUCCUCUCCCCACGCCGUCUUCUCCCCUCACCGUCUUCUCCCUCACCGUCUUCUCCCGCGCCUUCCCCACAACCGUUUUCUUCCCCUCACACGUUUCUUCCCCCCACACCGUUUUUCUUCCCCCACACCGUUUUCUUCCCCUCACACCGUUUUCUUCCCAUGUCCUCCCACCGUCUGGCAGGAGCGUCUGUCAGUCGCAAUCUUCUUCCCACUUUCUUCUCUCCUCUCCCAUCGUCUUUUUUCCCAGCCUCUUAUUUCCGCAUCUUCUUCCUCCCCCCACCAUUCUCUUCCCGUUUCAUCUCCCCACCUUCUCGCAGCAGCGACUUCCUGCCGCGCUUUUCUCUCCCCUCUCCCUUCUCCCCUCUUCCUCCCCACCGUCUUCGCCCCCGAUCGUCUUCUGCCCACCCCCUUCUCGCGCUCUCCCACUGCCUUCACCUAGAAGCUCUCCACGCGUGCGCGCGCCUGUGUCCCUGCCCCCGGUGUGUCUAUGCGCCCAGGCAGCCCAUAAGCUGGGCCCUGAGCUCCGCCCCAGCAGCCAACGGGAGACCAGGAGAGUCGCUGCCUGUGCCAUCACGGCUGCCGCCACCCCGCCCCGCCCCCGCUGCUUCAGAACUGAACAGUGUGGCUGCGGGCGAAGACAGUGGGCCCAGAAGACUGCGGGGAGAGGGGGAGAGGGGGGACGGAGAGGGUGGGAAAGACCUUGGAAAGUAGGAUGGGAGAAAGAAGGUGGGGAAGAAGACGGGAGAAAGUGCAGGGAAGAGACAGUGUGGUAGAGAAGACAGUGGAGGAAAACGGUGAGAGAGGAGAAAGGAGGGUGGAAAAGAAAACGAUGAGGACAAGGCCGGGAGCGGUGGCUCACGCCUGUAAUCCCAACUUUGGAGGCUGAUGCGGGCGGAUCACAAGGUCAGGAGUUCGAGACCUGCCUGACCAACAUGCUGAACCAGUCUCUACUAAAAACACAAAAAUUAGCUGGGCGUGAUGGCCAGCUCCUGUAUUCCCAGCUACUCCAGCGCCUGAGGCAGGAAAAUCGCUUGAGGCGGAGGUUGCAGUGAGCUGAGAACUCACCAUUGCACUCCAGCCUGGAUGACACAGAAGGUCGUGGGAACAUCCAGAGACCUACAGGGAAGACGGCCAUGGGACAAGGGAGGCAGAGUCUGGUUAGCUGCCUACAGUCACGGAAUGCCAA
rnacentral:lncRNA from 1 species